UACGGGGGGGGCGAGCGUUGUCCGAAGUUACUGGGCGUAAAGCGCGUGUAGGCGGGUUGUUUAAGUCCGCUGUGAAAGCCCGGUGCUAACGCCGGAGGGUCGGUGGAUACUGGCAGUCUUGAAGUGGCUAGGGGGGAAAUUGGAAUUACCGGGUGUAGCGGUGAAAUGCGUAGAUAUCGGUAGGAACACCAGUGGCGAAGGCGGUUUCCUGGAGCUAACUUGACGGCUGAGA
rnacentral:rRNA from 1 species